rnacentral:rRNA from 1 species
AGCGAACGUUAGCGGCGCGCCUAACACAUGCAAGUCGCACGAGAAAGGGCUUCGGCCCCGGUAAAGUGGCGCACGGGUGCGUAACACGUAGGCAAUCUUCCCUCGGGCGGGGGACAACCUUCCGAAAGGAGGGCUAAUACCGCGUAAGACCACGAGAGCUUCGGCUCUUGCGGUAAAAGCUGGCCUCUUCAUGAAAGCUAGCGCCUGAGAAUGAGCCUGCGGCCCAUCAGCUAGNGGUAGGGUAAUGGCCUACCAAGGCAAAGACGGGUAGCUGGUCUGAGAGGAUGAUCAGCCACACUGGCACUGAAACACGGGCCAGACUCCUACGGGAGGCAGCAGUGGGAAUCUUGGUCAAUGGGCGAAAGCCUGAACCAGCGACGCCGCGUGAGUGAUGAAGGCC